rnacentral:rRNA from 1 species
UACGUAGGGACCGAGCGUUGUCCGGAAUCAUUGGGCGUAAAGAGCGUGUAGGCGGCUAUUUAAGUCCUGCGUGAAAUCCUGCGGCUCAACCGCAGACGGUCGUGGGAAACUGGAUGGCUAGAGUGCGGGAGAGGAGAGUGGAAUUCCCGGUGUAGCGGUGAAAUGCGCAGAUAUCGGGAAGAACACCCGUGGCGAAGGCGGGUCUCUGGGCCGUAACUGACGCUGAGGAGCGAAAGCGUGGGGAGCAAACAGG